rnacentral:rRNA from 1 species
AACGAACGCUGGCGGCAUGCCUAACACAUGCAAGUCGAACGAGACCUUCGGGUCUAGUGGCGCACGGGUGCGUAACGCGUGGGAACCUGCCCUUAUGUUCGGAAUAACUCCCCGAAAGGGGUACUAAUACCGGAUAAUGUCUUCGGACCAAAGAUUUAUCGCCUUUGGAUGGGCCCGCGUUGGAUUAGCUAGUUGGUAGGGUAAAAGCCUACCAAGGCGACGAUCCAUAGCUGGUCUGAGAGGAUGAUCAGCCACACUGGGACUGAGACACGGCCCAGACUCCUACGGGAGGCAGCAGUGGGGAAUAUUGGACAAUGGGCGAAAGCCUGAUCCAGCAAUGCCGCGUGAGUGAUGAAGGCCUUAGGGUUGUAAAGCUCUUUUACCCGGGAUGAUAAUGACAGUACCGGGAGAAUAAGCUCCGGCUAACUCCGUG